rnacentral:lncRNA from 1 species
GAAAGAUAAAGUAUACCUACUGUGCUUUAUUGUAACUUAUUUUAAUUUCAUUUGUAUAUAUAUAUUUCUAUUUUAUUCAAUAUAACCAACAUGGCAGUUGUAAGUAAAUGUAACAGCCACCAUAUGUUGCAAACGGAAAAGUUGAAUAAAUCUAAUAUCUCUCGCUUACCACAGCGCUAUAAACAAAUCCUGGGGAGAACACUUGAGGGAUAUUGACCUAUUUAACAGUGGCCUGUUUUUCUGCUUUCAAAACAACACAACUAGGCACACAUUCAAAAUAACAGACAGUUUGAUUACAUUUACAUGAUAACAAGCAAUGUUGAGUUCUGAUAUGAAUUCAGUGUAAAUCUUCUUUAUAAUUGAAAAUGCUUUCUCACAGUCAGAAUUGCUAUUUGGCAGAACUAAAAUAGCUUUUUACAGAUGAUCCAAUAUGAUAAUGAGAGUUGCAUUAGGUGAACAAUGCAUUGUUCAGCCCUUAAUCACUUUCUUUGAUCCAUUUAAAACUUGGAUUCUCCAACUUUUUUGGUACAUGUAUGUACACACAUCUAGUUUUUGUUUAGUAUUUAGCUCUUACGACCACGGUACAGGUCCAGAAAGUUUCCUUCUUCUGCUGGUAAAGUAAAUUUAGAUGGAAGAAAAUCGCAAAAUCUUUAAAAUUUCUCACAAACUUAACUGAAGGGCUUUUGUUGUUCGUCCGUAUUAAAAAAACCCAACAAUGCUGCCCAUAGAAUACUUGAAAAUUUUCAAUAUUUAUGGUCUAAUUAUGAAAAAAAGAAGAAUUCCUAUAUCACUUACGACCAAUGUCUGUGUCUCAAUUCUAAAUCCCCUUGACCAGUCAAUUUUAAUAUUGUGUUCUUGUAACAUGAUUGAACAUUUUGCACUAAACAUUUUGUGAUAUUCAAAAAAUUUUGCUGGCCACACAUUAGCGGUCUCGAUGAUGUGAGAUAGGUAGCAAUCUAGUUCUUCUGCCCUAUUUGGAAAUACUUGACACAUUAUUUUUUAUAUCUUCCAAAAGCUAUAAUAAACUCGUCUAAUGUUAAAUUUCGUUUUAAACGGUCAUCAUUUUCUUUAAACUUUUGGUGAUUGGGCGUUUCAUAGUUUGGAAGAAGGAGAAUGUUUAAGUUGAUGUCUUUACCUGAGAUAAUUUUGGUGCG